AAAUUUCAUAUCACAGAUGCCCAAGACAGUGGUGAAGAAUUUUUUUCCUUUCCAACUUUUUAGGAGGUUCCUGUGCAGAUUUGUCACAUGGGUAAAAUGCGUGUUGCGGGGGUCUGGUGUGCGGAUUCUUCGGUCACCCAGGUGCAGAGAAUGAGGAUCAGAAAUGUUGAAGAGUUUGCCCAGAGAUCCAGCCAGCAAAUAGCCAGCUUCAGGGCUGAUAGGACCGUCAUUGUCCCUGACCAUGACCCGUCACAUGGCCAGCUCCAGAUGGAUUGGAAGGUCUGCGGGAACUAGCUUUGGCCUAGGCCAAGAUCAUCCGACCAGACCUUCUCCUGCUUCCUAUUUAGGAGAACACAGACCCCAGGUGUCCCACUGCAGAGUCCCAGUGUAUGAAGGUCAACCCAGUGUGAGACCUCCAGCAUAUAAAAUAUGGAUGGAAAUCACAGCUUCAGAAGAGCGGUGAAGGAUACAAUGAAAGGAAAUGGGAUUAAAAAGAAAACUAACAAAAGGGACCUUAAUUCUAUAUGGCAGAUUUUCUUUUUUGAGAUGGAGUCUUACUCUGCUCCCAGGCUGGAGUACAGUGGCGCCAUCUAGGCUGACUGCCAGCUCCGCCUCCUGCGUUCAAGCAAUUCUCCUGCCUCAGCCUCCCAGGUAGCUGGAACUACAGGUGCCUGCCACCACAUCCAGAUCAUGUUUGGAUUUUUAAUAGAGACGGGGUCUUGCCAUGUUAGCCAGGCUGGUCUCGAACUCCUGACCUCAAGUGAUCUGCCUGCCUCAGCCUCUCAAAAGCACUGGAAUUACAGAUAUGAGCCACCAUGCCUGCCCUGGCAAGUUUUAUUUCUUAAGAAAAACAGAUAUGAAGUAAAUAUGGCUGUUAAUAUUCAUUACACC
rnacentral:lncRNA from 1 species